CUAUAUUAGGCAUACAUCCAUGCCCCCAUGAAACUGUAAGGGACUGGAAGGAGGCAGUGUGUCCCGUGAAUCCUCAUGAACCAUCCCAGUCUUUCUUACUCCCCUGCACGUCCUCUUCAUUUACACAGAGAUAUCAACCAGGAUAUGGCAUUGCAUUGGAUCCCAACCAGGAUAUGACGUUACAUUGGAUCCCAACCAGGAUAUGGCAUUGCACUGGAUCCCAACCAGGAUAUGGCAUUGCACUGGAUCCCAACCAGGAUAUGGCAUUGCGUUGGAUCCCAACCAGGUUAUGGCAUUACAUUGGAUCCCAACCAGGUUAUGGCAUUGCAUUGGAUCCCAACCAGGAUAUGACAUUGCAUUUACUCAUCACGCCUCCUUAGGUUCCUCUUGGCUGUGACGGUUUCUCAGACUAUCCUUGUUUUUUAGGACCUUGACAGUUUUGAGGCAUACUGGUAUUGGAAAACCCAAGCAUUGACUCUCCAGACCAGCCUCGCACCUAAGAACGCCGUGGGAUGCAGUUUCAGACAGUGAGAAAUCUGCUGGGGAUGCCUGGGAAAGGGACAUACCUGGCAGGUGCCGCUCCAUGGCCUUCUUGCUGCCUUGAAUUGGGACAUGAGCCUGAGUCGCAGCAGCCGUCUUGUGACUGAGAGGUGGCAAGCAGGAGGAAGAGGCUAAGAGAAUAGAGACACUGUUGAGCUGCUGAAGCACAGCAAGCGGCCACUUCUCUAUGCUUCUUGCUAUUUGACUGUUAAGCUAGUGCAAGUUACUUUUCUGGUCAGAAUGAAUUCAUAACUGAAACAUGCUUUAAAGUAUGACUAUUAUUAUUAAAUGCAGCAUAAGCUUUCCAUAGCUGCUACACGAUCACACCCACUGCUGUCUCAGACUGACCAGUGGCCGACUAAACAUGACAGCAAGUACUGUUGCCAGCCUCUGCCUUCUUAUACUUGUGGAGUUUGUUUAAAUCUAAAUUCAGGACUCACCCUGUUAAAUUUUAUCUCCUUAGCUUGUCCCCUUCUUUUCAGAGAUU
rnacentral:lncRNA from 10 species